AUCAGUUGGUAGCCGAUAAAGCUCAGAGUGAUGUUGGUCGUCUCGUAUCCAUCUAUGAAGAGGCCGAGAACAUGUGCGGCAAGUGCCUGUGCUGAACCAAGUACUUUUCGCCACACAUCUGCUCGAUGCAACUAAAUGACAGCUUCAGCUUCAUGCCGCAGAAUGCAGGAGUAAAACGCUUCCUGGACGUGUGCCACACGUUGCCAAUUGAGAAGAAAGGAUUCAAUGUGAGAAGUGGAACAUCACCAACCACAUAUUCUCGAAUCUCGGAAGAAUGCCCUGUGUGCACGCGAUGCCCCGAUCGUGGCAGUAUUUGUAGUUUCUAGUUAGGUAAAAACACCAUGUCACUCCAUAAUUCUCCUAAGGAUCAUGAAAAGAAGAAUAAUGUUGAGCAUGAUGUCGGCAGUAAGAAAUUGGUACAUUAAACAACAAGAAUACGAUUCGUGCUUGAAUUAUCGCCGACAGCUAGGCUGAUAAAAAAGAUUUUACUCUUGUAGAAGUUAUCUCCUAUCAAUGUAUAUUUACGUACUUAUUGCGCAGAACAAUAUUGCAAAAUAAUGUUUCCUUGGUAUGGAUACUGUGAUAAACUUUUCACAUUGGGUCAUUUUUUCAAAAACGUUAAUAACGCCAAUAACAAGCUUUAAAAUAUCUGUAAGUAUUUUAAAGUGCAACUUGAAUAUGUUCUAAUAAUUUUUUAAGAGUUGCAAAAUGUGGAAUAUAUUAUGCAAAAAUUCCCCAUCUUUAAACGUAAUAUAAUUAAAUUCUAAAAAUAUAUUAUAAAUAUUAAUAAUAUUAUGUUAUACUAUAAAUAGAAAUUAUUAUUAUAUUUAUAUAAGGUAAAAUUAUAAAAUUCCAGAUACUUAAUACGAAUAAUUUUGCAGUGAUUUAGUUUCUUAUAUGACGUCAAAUUGUAGAAUCCUACCAUGCUGUGAAUCCGUUGUCGUAAUAGAUUUUGCAACAGUAUUCGGAGGAAGACGUUUGCGUAUAGAAUCCCAACCUGUGACCAACUGCUAAAGAGCUCCAUUAACGCAUGGAAUUCCAUGUUUCUGUCAGUAUUUGUAAUUAUGCGUUAAAUAUAGAUACAGUGUUAUAAGCGUUCCAAAGAUCGGGAACGUCAGCAUGAAUAUCUUGUUUCUCUCUGGUGAGCAACGGAGCAGAAUUAUAUAAGCCGACAGCCUUGACCAUAUAUCAUGCGUGCCUGCGAAUAGAAGUAUUGUGCGGGAGCAUCGAUUACCAGACUAACGUGCACUAUGACCAUGAAGUUAUAUAGUUCACAGAGUAUAUUUCACUAAGAUUUAAGUAAACAGUUUUACAUACACACAUAAUUGCAAGAUAAUGAUCAAAUUAAUUGUAAAUUUUAGCUAAAACGUUGUAUUUUUAUAAGCUAUAAUAAUAAAGUUUUAGAUUGAUUAAUUAAUGUGUCAUAAAAAAGAUGUGAUUAAGUAAUGAGUCAUAAAAGAGCUAUAAUGAAAUAUUUUAAUGAAGACGUAAUUAAAGGAAAUUAUUUUGGAAAAUAUCUGAUUAAAUAUAAAUUUCUGUUUAUUUAAAUGUUAGAUGUAACUUAUAAAAAAUUCAUCAAGAUUAUUUAAUUCCUUACUUACUAAACAGAUCUUACAUAAAUGUAUAUAAAUUUACAUAGAAGAUUAUAGAUUAUUACAUUUUCUUAUCGCUAUUUACUGUUACGACAGAUGCAUUUCACAGAUAACAAGGUAAGAUACGUACACACAUAUGAUAACUCUUAAUCUUAUAUAUAAUUUUGUUGGCUCCCCUUAGGGUUACAAUUUUUCACAUUCUCCACCGCAAACAUAAACUAACUCUUAAUCUUAUUAUUAAGCUUAAGUAUAAAAAGGCAAUACUCUAUCUACUUCAAUAAAAAUUAUAUGGAUAUUUAUAUUUUGUAUUCUAUUUAGUGCUGCGUAUAAAUCAAUUUUAAACAAUUUGGGAUUUAAUUCAAACCGAAAUUUUCAAAAAGCACAUAUACAGCUCUUUCUUAUACCUAAAUAAAGAAUACUCUAAUAUAAAUUUGCAUUACCAUGAAAAUUCUUUUAUGAUAUUAAGGCAAUUUAUUGCGCGCAGGUGCGGUCAUACAUGCUGUUUGUAAAUUACUUACUAAGUAAUAAUUGACAAUUGUAUUAUCCAAUUAUGUAUUCCAACUUUCUACAAAAAAAGUAAUCUACAAAAA
rnacentral:lncRNA from 1 species